rnacentral:tRNA from 2 species
GGUCCCGUAGCUCAGCAGGAUAGAGCAACAGAUUCCUAAUCUGUAGGUCACGCGUUCGAAUCGCGUCGGGAUCGCCA